UUAACUAUUAUAUAGUACUCAGACAAUAUUAACAAACAGAGUUUUGGUAUCUUCGACAGUCACUGACCAGCCGGAGCCGGUGGGCCGAAGCCGGGACUGCCAAAGCAACAAAGGUAAAUAAACAAUGGGUGGGAGGUAUACCCCGAAGGGCAACGUCUCUUUAAUGAUCCUUCCGCAGGUUCACCUACGGAAA
rnacentral:misc_RNA from 1 species